AUUGAACGCUGGCGGCAGGCCUAACACAUGCAAGUCGAGCGGAUGAAGGGAGCUUGCUCCUGGAUUCAGCGGCGGACGGGUGAGUAAUGCCUAGGAAUCUGCCUGGUAGUGGGGGAUAACGUCCGGAAACGGGCGCUAAUACCGCAUACGUCCUGAGGGAGAAAGUGGGGGAUCUUCGGACCUCACGCUAUCGGAUGAGCCUAGGUCGGAUUAGCUAGUUGGUGGGGUAAAGGCCUACCAAGGCGACGAUCCGUAACUGGUCUGAGAGGAUGAUCAGUCACACUGGAACUGAGACACGGUCCAGACUCCUACGGGAGGCAGCAGUGGGGAAUAUUGGACAAUGGGCGAAAGCCUGAUCCAGCCAUGCCGCGUGUGUGAAGAAGGUUUUCGGAUUGUAAAGCACUUUAAGUUGGGAGGAAGGGCAGUAAGUUAAUACCUUGCUGUUUUGACGUUACCAACAGAAUAAGCACCGGCUAACUUCGUG
rnacentral:rRNA from 1 species